GCGUUGGUGAUACAGUGGAGAACUCUAGCCUUUCAUGCAGGAGACCCAGGUUUGAUUCCUGGCUAAUGCA
rnacentral:tRNA from 1 species